GUGCUCACUCCAGCAGCAUGUACAGUAAAAUUGGAACAAUACAGAGAAAUUAGCAUGGUGUCUGCACAAGGAUGACACACAAAUUCAUGAAGCAUCUCAUGUUUAA